rnacentral:tmRNA from 1 species
GGGCCUGUUUUGGAUUCGAUUGCAAGCGGAUUUCGUCGGACGCACGCCGGAGGCUCGGCUCCGUAAAAACGGAAUUCAUUUAAUUGCUGAUAAUAAAAGCAGAAGAAGCGCAACCCGCAGAGUUUCGGCUCGCCGCGUAGCGCUUGCGGCUUAACUUAGUUAGGCUCCGUCCUCUUCCGAUUGCCUACGGUCGGAAACAGGGCGUCAACUUAGUGGGGAACGUUUUAUUUGAAAAAACUUCCGUUCGGAUAAAAUGAAUUUAGGGAAGUAUGCCCGAAAAAGAGUCGUCUGCGGACUCUUUCAGGGCGAGAUUUGAUCGCAGACUAAGCGUGUAGUGUCCGCGGAGGAACCUUGUAAGACCGCAGUUCAAUUCUGCGCAGGUCCACCA